GAGUUUGAUCGUGGCUCAGGAUGAACGCUGGCGGUAUGCUUAACACAUGCAAGUCGAACGAAACCUUUCGGGGUUUAGUGGCGGACGGGUGAGUAACGCGUGAGAAUCUGGCUUCAGGUCUGGGACAACCACUGGAAACGGUGGCUAAUACCGGAUGUGCCGAGAGGUGAAAGGUUAACUGCCUGAAGAUGAGCUCGCGUCUGAUUAGCUAGUUGGCAGUGUAAUGGACUACCAAGGCGACGAUCAGUAGCUGGUCUGAGAGGACGAUCAGCCACACUGGGACUGAGACGCGGCCCAGACUCCUACGGGAGGCAGCAGUGGGAAUUUCCGCAAUGGGCGAAAGCCUGACGGAGCAAUACCGCGUGAGGGAGGAAGGCUCUUGGGUCGUAAACCUCUUUCUCAGGGAAGAACACAAUGACGGUACCUGAGGAAUAAGCAUCGGCUAACUCCGUGCCAGCCGCCGCAGUAAU
rnacentral:rRNA from 1 species